GUAGCUCAGUGGUAGAGCGUCCGACCGGUGUGCGGAAGGUCAUAGGUUCGAUUUCAAUACAACA